rnacentral:rRNA from 1 species
UACGGAGGAUCCAAGCGUUAUCCGGAUUUAUUGGGUUUAAAGGGCGCGUAGGCGGCUCAUGAAGGCUGUGGUGAAAGUCCGGGGCUCAACCUCGGAUCGGCCGUGGCGACUCGUGGGCUGGAGCACUGUAGAGGCGGGUGGAAUUCCGGGUGUAGCGGUGGAAUGCGUAGAGAUCCGGAAGAACACCAGUGGCGAAGGCGGCCCGCUGGGCAGUGGCUGACGCUGAGGCGCGACAGCGUGGGGAGCAACAG